AAACUUUGCUAGAUCAGAUUGGUGCAGCCUUCUGGCUUGCCAGUCCUCAGUCAAACUGUCCAACCCAUGCCAGCAUGGAAAGCGGACAUUAAACGAUGAUGAUGUAGUGCAUUCCUUUUCAUUCCAGUAAUAAAACCAAUUAAGUUUUUUGUAGAUGACAAUUAUCAUCUCCCUCUCAAAUAAAGAAUGGAGCAGUCAAAGAUUUGUUGUUUUGGAAAUUGCUAAAACGACAAUGCUAAUUGUUUGUUAUGUUCAAAAUAGAUAAAACUAAACAAUUCUAAUUGAUUAUUGCUGUAUUACCUUUUAAUCUGAAGUCCUUUUUGUCUCGAACACUGGAAGUGUUUCUCUUGAUUCGAUUCAACUCCUAAUGAAACUGUCUUGACUGUUCUCACCACAAACAUUAGCUGAUGCUUCUAUCAUGAGUUUUGCACAUCUCUUCCCUGCUUGGUUGUGGCACAGUAAUUUUUCCAGUUGCAUCAAUGAAGGUAUAAAGGUAUUGAUUUCUUCAUCGGGAAAUGCCUGUUAGAGGUGGUUCAGUAACAAUAGUGUCCUGCCUGUUAAUUAUGUCCAUGUAGUUUGAGGCAGCAAAGUUUAGGGUAGGAAUUUUGAAAGAUCACACAGAUUUCCCUUUAUACUGUGUUUGAGCCUGCUUUAUGUGCCUCCAUGCUAGUUCUCGAAUGUGGAUCCAUUUAUCAUGGCCAGCAAAAUAUUUUCUGGGUGCACAAAGAAAGCAUUCCAUUGUACAACUGGAAAUACAAUGUCUUGUACCACUCGAUCCAUUUCUCUCAUAGACUCAGUUGUCUUGAACACAUUUAGAGCCCCGUUUCUCAAGGAAGAGUUGUGUUUAAUUGUGAACCACAUUGGCACAUAAACUUUCAUUUGUAAGCAACAGAUAAUUUCAUCAUGUUAGAAGGAUUCUCGGUGGUAACAUACAACUAUAGCAUACGAUUUGCAGUUGUAAGCCAUCGAGAAUACCCCAUUUUACUGGGAUUCCUUAAUGCCAAUUCAGAUGAACAUUUCCCUUCAGAUAUCCUGGUGGAGGUCAAGAAGGUAUUUUUGAUCAGUGCUGAGAUUGUUUCUGUCUACUGAUGGUAAGUCCAUUGGGAUCUGAUUAAACUUCACGACACUUAGUGUUUCACAUCACUCCAGUCUCUUACCAAUCAGCCCAAGAAACCCAUGAGGCCUGGUAAUUUUUCCGUCAAGUUUGUUAAUAAGAUGGCAUAAGGGAAGCUCAUUUGCAUGAAGCUGAUACACAAACCAAUGCAAUGACUUCUUCAAUUUAUCCUCCAAAAGUCUAAUGGUGCCUCCUUUUGGUCCUGUAUUGAGUGCAGUACCCUCGCAACCUACUGCUAUCAUGUGAUUGGUUACUAUCUCAUUGGAUUCCAAAUAAUUCAACAAACCAUUGGAAAUGGCUUUUGCAGAACCUUUUUUAACAGCAAAGUGCCCAAGAUAGCAGGACUCAGGUUCUUCUAUCAAUGAAAUGUGUUCUUUUUGAAUUGUUUUCUUGCGAAAUGUUUAUCCUAUUUGUUCACUUAUGAGAGUUGUGUCCCUCCUUCCAUUCAAAAUACAUGGCAGACAGUGGUGUAUGUGGCCCACCUUCCUGCUGCAGAGAUUUAUGUUUACUGGAUUGUUCCCGCCUUACCUUCGAUCUGUCUAUAACGAAAGAUCAUUCACCAGAUAUACUUGCUGUUAAGUUAGGGAUGACUAAACUUGUACAAAAAGCAGCAGCAUGGUCUGUCACACUGGUACAGUCACAGACAGAAGCUAGUUCUGGGAAUUUCAUUCGUUUUAUUGGUGUUUUUGAACUUAGGUUUUUGCUGACAUCUUUUUGUUUCAUGGAAAAUGGAAUUGGAAAAUCUUCAUCUUUGCUUGCUGAUCCAGUUCCAGAUUCACUGCUUGAUGAAAAUACUAUCAAUUCAGAAUCCUUUGUUGAUGUACAAGGGCGACUGUGAUCUGACUGAUUCUUUCUAAUCAACCUCUGAACAUUCUGUUUAGAUACUGCUUGAUCUAUUCUGCCAAUGAUCAUUUUUUGAUUUUUCUGUUGAUGCUAUAAAAAAUCUUGUUCACUCUGUGGUGUCUCUACUACAACCACAGUUUUUAAAGGAGUUGCACUUGCAACUGGAAAUGUCAAAUAAAUCUUUUGUUGCAUUGUUUUUAAACACAAUACACUUUGCUUGAAACGAUGGCAAAUUUUUUCUAUUUUUCACAGAUUUUAGUAAUGUUUGGUACUUUAGAUAAAAGUUUAAGAUUUUUGGCUCAAAUGACUCCAUCGUAACACAAGGGAUGAAUGCCUUUUGUCAAAGAAGAAUUAUCUUUUCUGCUACAAUUUCAACAAUUUGUUUAAUUGAAGGAUCUUUCUUAACUACAUUCUUUUCUUUUUCUCAUUCAAAUAAAACACAUUUUAGUACAUCCUUGUAAGUUGGCAAAACUUACUCACUAAGAUCACAUGGAAUAUCAAAUAUUGGGCUUUCAGUAUCAUGACAUGUUAUUAGCUUAUGAGUCAUCACUAAAUGUAAACAACACUAAAUUUAACACGAUCAUUGAUUUUAAUACUAUGGCCUAAAGUCAAGGUACAAAGCAGAAAACUUCACACAUGAAUAACAUACGUCCACACGCAAUGACCACUGGAGAGAAGUUCACACUCCCUUUCUCUUUAUGGUCAGUGUAGAACCUCAAGAUAUUAGUCAAUUGUAUGCAACCUUUUGAGGAUACUAUAUUUAUUGUUUUGCAUUCUUCUAUGUAGAAAUAUGUAUCAUAAUCCAUGAAAUCCAAAAUUCAACCAAAAAUAGUGAUUUUUAAAAUUUUCAGUUGUGUUGCAAAGCCUGGAAAAGAUAUUUAACCAUAAAGUUCUUUAUACACCUUUCUUUUAACCGUAAUUUGCAACAAAAUAUGAUUCUUGGUUACCAAUUUCAAAAGUUGCGUUUUUCACUCCACCCUAAGCCUUCAAUUAUAUAGAUUGUUGUAUGAAACUACAAAUAAGUAAGGGUCAGAUAUGAGCCCUAGUACUUGUUUAAUAUUUAUUUUAUCAAUCAUAAUUACAGGUAUGGAACUUCAAGUUCCAUCCUAUCCUGCAGCAUGGCACUUUGGUCAAGAGUUAUGUACUAUAGCCUGGGUUCUGGAAUUUGAUAGACAGAAAUUGUAUGAAAUUUUGUUGUGUAUAUGUGUGGUUGUGUGGGAAUGAGUGUUUGUUUUCAUAGGUAAACAUGCCCUACAGUUUGGUGGUUUCAUGUGUGAAAACUAGUGGAAUAAAAACACUUUAACAAGUAACAGCUGGCAACAAGGCCUCUGGCCAUAAAAUACUGCUUUAAUGCUUUAGCAUUCACAUUACUGUAUCAAUGUAAUGUUUAUUUAUUAGUGAGUGUGAGUGGUCACAUCUGGCUGGUUUUAAGAUAAAACAGGUAAAUUAUUUUGGCCAGAUAUGGCUGCUUUAAAUGCUGAAGGGUUAAUAAUCUCAUCCAGCCCAUGUCAGUAUGAAAAAAAAAGCAGAUGUAAAAACAAUAAUGAUAGUGAAAUCACAUGUAAAGCUGGCCUUGAACUUGGAAGAUAGAAUGACGAAACUAAACUCUAGGAAGAAUUUGUCUGGUAGUUUAGUUAUUUUUGCUGCUUGAGCAUUCUUUGGAAAAAUAUCCUUGAUAGUCCAAAGUAAUAUGUCAAUGCCUAUGACUUUUAUAGGCCAUUCCACACUGGUGAGAUUGAUAUAUAUAUAAACAAUAUAAUGAUUGGAUAGUUGUAGGUUAAUGACUACAGGAAACACAUAGGGACGGUAGUUGUUCUAGGAAGGAAAGAUUGGAUAAAUAAAAUGUAAUUUUUUUUUUUAUUUAUUGUUGGAUCUGGAGGAAGAACAAUACUUAUUGUCUUUUGCAUGCCUUCUGAGACUGGCAGAAAUGAUGCAGUUAAUGUUCCUUUUGAACCAUUGUAUGUCAAUACCAUCUAGAGAAAUGUGAGCAAAGAGGGUGUUUCAGAGAAGUGAUGUUCUAGAAAGGAAGGACUGGGUGAGUGGCUAGUGCUAGACCUGCUGGUUUGGACAAAACAAGGGUAAAAGAGGUGGAAGUUCCAUCUCUUCACAAGGCUUUGAUCUGUCUAUGAUUGUAGUGGAGACACUUGCUCAAAGUGCUACACAAUAGGACUGAACUUGAAACCACAUGGUUGGGAAGUGAACUUCUUAACCGCAUAUACCUUUACCUAUACAUGUAUAAAUGCACAUGUUUGUGUUGGCAAGAAAGCAGAAAUACCACUGAGCAGUGAACAAAGUUCCUUUAUAUAUCCUGCACUUAGUUACAAGCACUCUCUUGUGAUUCUUGUCAUCAAAAAUGCAAUGAAUCAGUUAUUUGCUCAUUGGAAACCUGUAACCAACAAAGCUGUUAUUCACAACUCGCGAUAUAAAUGAAUAUAAGUUAUGGUGCAUCUAUUUCACUAAAGAGCUCCAACAAGGACAAAACAUAAACAGAAUUAUCUCCCAUAUAUUCAGAUGUAAAAUAUUAUUAGUCAUUUAUAAAAGUUUUUUCUUCUUUCACUGCUUAUUUGAAUUUUUAAUGUUUAAUCAUUUGAUUUUAACUAACAACAGAUUGCAUAGACAUUCCACAUAUUGAUUAAUGUGUGUUGUAGUACUUCUUCACUAUUUGUAUUUUUGGUGUUAGUCUAAGCUUUGAUGAAAUAAAUCAUUGUUUUUCACUGAGCUGCUGAUUUCAAAGAUAAAGACAAAA